CCGCUUUCAUUGGUUUAAAGGCUGCGCAGGCAGAUUGGUAAGACAGGGUGAAAUCCCCCAGCUCAACUGGGGAACUGCCUUUGAUUCUGUCAGUCUAGAGUAUAGUUGAAGUUUGCCGGAAUGUGUCAUGUAGCGGUGAUAUGAUUUGAUAUGACACAGAACACCGAUCGCGAACGCAUCUAGCUAAGCUAUAACUGACGCUCAUGCACGAAAGCGUGGGGAUCAAACAUGGAUUAGAUACCCUGGUAGUCCACGCUGUAAACGAUGAUUACUCGAUGUUGGCGAUACACAGUCAGCGUCUGAGCGAAAGCAAUAAGUAAUCCACCUGGGGAGUACGAUCGCAAGAUUGAAACUCAAAGGAAUUGACGGGGGCCCGCACAAGCGGAGGAGCAUGUGGUUUAAUUCGAUGAUACGCGAGGAACCUUACCUGGGCUCGAACGUAAGAUGACUGUAGGUGAAAGCUUACAUCUCUUCGGAGCAUUUUACGAGGUGCUGCAUGGUUGUCGUCAGCUCGUGCCGUGAGGUGUCGGGUUAAGUCCCAUAACGAGCGCAACCCCUACCUUUAGUUGCCAUCAGGUCAUGCUGGGGACUCUAAAGGAACUGCCUACGCAAGUAGUGAGGAAGGCGGGGAUGACGUCAAAUCAGCACGGCCCUUACGUCCAGGGCUACACACGUGCUACAAUGGCCGAUACAGAGGGCAGCUACCUGGUGACAGGAUGCAAAUCUCCAAAGUCGGUCUCAGUUCGGAUCGGAGUCUGCAACCCGACUCCGUGAAGUUGGAUUCGCUAGUAAUCGCGCAUCAGC
rnacentral:rRNA from 1 species